rnacentral:rRNA from 1 species
CUGGCGGCGUGCCUAAUACAUGCAAGUCGAGCGAAUGAUUAGAGAAGCUUGCUUCUCUCUGAUUAGCGGCGGACGGGUGAGUAACACGUGGGUAACCUACCCUAUAGACUGGGAUAACUUCGGGAAUCCGGAGCUAAUACCGGAUAAUACUUCGAAACACAUGUUUUGAAGUUGAAAGAUGGUUUCGGCUAUCACUAUAGGAUGGACCCGCGGCGCAUUAGCUAGUUGGUGAGGUAACGGCUCACCAAGGCAACGAUGCGUAGCCGACCUGAGAGGGUGAUCGGCCACACUGGGACUGAGACACGGCCCAGACUCCUACGGGAGGCAGCAGUAGGGAAUCUUCCACAAUGGACGAAAGUCUGAUGGAGCAACGCCGCGUGAGUGAAGAAGGAUUUCGGUUCGUAAAACUCUGUUGCAAGGGAAGAACAAGUAGCGUAGUAACUGGCGCUACCUUGACGGUACCUUGUUAGAAAGCCACGGCUAACUACGUGCCAGCCGCAGC